AAUUACAGUGACGACUCACAAAAUUCAAGCUCAACAGACCGGAUUGUAGGAACUCUUCUCAAAUUGAGAAAUGUUUUUGCAUGUCGAUUAUCCCGCUGAACUGAGUAAUU